CCUACAAAUGACAGUAUUGCAACACAUGUAAAUGCAUUGCAUUUUAAAUUCAGAAAGCAACUGCAUGUGAAAUCAAGUGUUUGUCCUGAUAAAUAAAAAUUAUUUGGGCCUUAGAUAUAAUACUCACCAACUUAUAAACUCGUAUUCUGCACACAUACAAAGCAGUGUAGUUGAAGUGUAAUGCUUGCUGUUCAAAAUUACCCAAGCCGCUGGUGUAAAACCAUUAUCCGUGUCACCACAAACUUCAACCACACACUCAGUAUGAAACUUGAAAGAGCAUGUGAUUUCUCCACCCACAUGCAUGAUCUCUGAAGCCCACGAAGGCUGUCAGCAUCAGUUAGGUUCAUCAGACACUGUAUAUUAAAUUCAGAAUGUAUUUCAAGAAUCAGAAUGCAAUGAUUUACUCCGAAACAUGCAUGUGGUGUGUUUGUGGUAGGCUGGCCGGGCGCACCUUAUUCUGUAGAUAUAUGUGAAGGUCUGGAGGACUGGAGUGGAGCAAACAGCCUCUCUAACCCGUCUGACACUGAGGAGGAGGACGCCGCACAUCUGGUUGCAGGCAGAUACAGGGCCUUCGUCGACUGGCGUAAAAAUGGGACGGAUAACUUCAUCAUUAGGUGUGGUGAUGUCAUACAACUACAGCAUGAGGAAAAUGAUGGCCAGUGAUUUAGAUUUCUCUUAGGUUUUAUGCAGCUGGCAUCACUGAUUUCUGUUACUUUCCUGUUUAAUAAUGUGAAGCUGCUACAGAUACUGCUGUGUAAAUAAAGGCUGGUGAAGAAUCUGAGUCGCAGACAGGAAGGCCGUAUCCCUACUGCCAACCUGCAGGGCAUCCUGGGAGAAAGCCUCAAGAAUCACUCCAACCGGCUUGGAGACCCAGGGAAUCGUAAAGCACGGAAGCUCAGCUCGCCAUGAAGGAAUGGCCCAGUUCAAUAUUGGACCUUUAAUAUUCACGCUUGGUAGCUCAGACUGUAUGUGACUACAUGGAUUUAGACCUAUAUUCCAGAGUUUUUGCACUGCUCCUCAUUGACAGAUGCUACCAAAAUGCAAAAGACAAAGCAUUUCACAUCUUACAAGAGAUCUCCACCAUUUCAGAAAACCCAGAGAGCGCUUUUAAACAUCUGUCCUCUGCCUAAACACACUUCAGUCCUCCUGACUAGGUGAAGCCUAGAACAUUCUGACUCUGGGAUUGUCCCAGUAGACUUUGCAGUUGUUGAAUAAUGAAUCAAGGCCCAUCAAAAGGCCUCUUCGUCGCUGUCUUCACGGUUAACCCUCUCCUAUGAAAACAUCCUGUUCAUAAAGGACCGUAAUUUUUAAACUGUGUUUGUUUGUGCUGUUAUUUAUCUUGUACUGUUGUAUUUAUCCUCAGUCUGAGCUCUUCCCGAGAGCUUCAAUGCCAAAUCAUGCAGUGCCAUAAUGCCUGUUUCCCCACUUUUUAUUUAAAGCAGACUUUGCUCAGUAGUGCACUAGUUACCUCAAAAAAUAUUUAAAAGCACUUUAUUCGGGUCACAAAUUUGUGGCUCUUUGUGUCUUUCUACAGCUUUAAACCGGAUGAAUUUUGCAUGCCGUCAAUUCUUACCUCUCUUAUUUAGUAAAAUUCUCUUGUCAGGCACUUUACAUGCAGAAUCUACUCUACCAGCUUGAAGACCUGGGGGCUGUCAUGUAAGUUGACUUUGGAGCCACAAAUAUGAGUUGAGCGCAUGUGUGUUGAAAUCUGCUAAAUCAGAGCCGUGUUGAUGGAGGUUUCUUAUUAAGGGAGAUCAUACAGCAAACAUUAAAUAUACCCACUGUUUAGAAUGCUUAAUGAAAUAUUAAUUGCAGACUUAUAUGAAUUUACUACAUUAAAUCAGGUCUACAGUUGGAGGGCUGACUUUGAUAUACCAGCGUUUGAAGUGGAAAUGAGCUGUGUAGCAGCAGGAGACGUUUUGGAGUGCACAUCUCUUAUGUUAUUAAUUUUGUUAUCAAGUUGUUCCCUUCCAGCGUGGAGCUCCAGCUACCCACUCAAAAUCAAGCCAUGUAAAGGACACAACUGCCUGUACUGUGCUGUAUUAGCCAUAUAUACUAUCAACUUUGCAUAUUUGCUUAUUCGUGUCCAAAUGUCUGAGAGCACAUUGAAAAUCUGGGAAUCAGAAUUUCAUGAUCAUCAGGGUUUUUUCCAUCAAUUUCAAGUUCAUUUUGUAAAUGUAGUUUUGCACUCAGAAGUAAUGCUAAACAAAAGCAUUUUCACUAAUGGUCUCAGACCUUUGGACCUCACUUUAUCUAAUAGCAUUUAAUCCUGUUUUUUGUUUUUGUUUUGUUUUUUGGGGGACUGGCUUAUAAAUUAUUUUUGAAGGAAUGUAUCUGUGUUGACUAUUGUAUUGUAACAAU